rnacentral:rRNA from 1 species
GAUGAACGCUGGCGGCGUGCCUAAUACAUGCAAGUCGAGCGAACAGACGAGGAGCUUGCUCCUUUGACGUUAGCGGCGGACGGGUGAGUAACACGUAGGUAACCUACCUAUAAGACUGGGAUAACUUCGGGAAACCGGAGCUAAUACCGGAUAAUAUUUCGAACCGCAUGGUUCGAUAGUGAAAGAUGGCUUUGCUAUCACUUAUAGAUGGACCUGCACCGUAUUAGCUAGUUGGUAAGGUAACGGCUUACCAAGGCAACGAUACGUAGCCGACCUGAGAGGGUGAUCGGCCACACUGGAACUGAGACACGGUCCAGACUCCUACGGGAGGCAGCAGUAGGGAAUCUUCCGCAAUGGGCGAAAGCCUGACGGAGCAACGCCGCGUGAGUGAUGAAGGUCUUCGGAUCGUAAAACUCUGUUAUUAGGGAAGAACAAACGUGUAAGUAACUGUGCACGUCUUGACGGUACCUAAUCAGAAAGCCACGGCUAACUACGUG